CGUUUAUAUAGACAGACACAGAAAGAAAAAUAUCGUUGAUUGUUUGGAAGCAGACGCGCCGUGCAGGUGUGCUGUCAACUAUAAGGGCGAUUGCGGCUAAGGAAGAGGUUUCUGCAGAGAUGAGAGGGGCGUCUGCAGCAACGUGCUAUGCUCAUGGCACAGAAAUAAACUGCAGCAUCUUCAGACGUCAGGCUGCUGGUACCAGAACAUGCGAACGUAGCUCGGGUCAUCACAGCUGCAGCUGAGAGCGGAGGACUCUCCAGGGUUUUUGAGAAGUUUGACAGGGAGCAGCUGAACAUUGACGCUUUGUGACAGUUCUGCUAAACGAUAAAGAAGAGGAUGAAAAACAAAGAGAUGCUCACACUGACCAGCUUGUAAGUGAUUGUGUCUGUCUCAUUGUGCACACAACAGCACCAAGACAAAAGCAAAGUCCUCUCAAUAUAUGGGUCUUUCUUAACUCUUUAAGGUGAAGGAUAUCAAAAUACGGUGUUAAUGUUGUUAAUUGAACAUUCUAAAGCAGAUGUAACAAUCAACACUGCUAGUUCACAGCAAUGGAGUUUCAGAACACUGAAAUGGAAUUUUUAAAAAAACA